UGAGGUCCUACAGCCCUGAAGUGAGGUCUGAGGGCUGUGCGCGGAGGCCGAGUGGUGGUGGAGAGAUGUGGGGUUUUUGUAGACAUGUCUUGGUUUUAUCCUGGGUGGUCCAUGGAUAAACUUGCUGACCUGGCACGAGUCCUUGAAACUUAGUAAACCUUUAAAAGUUUAAAAGGGAGUGUUUUUUUUGUUUGUUUGUUUGUUUUUAAGUUUAGGAGUUCCCGUCAUGGCACAGUUAUUCUUAUUUUUAAUCUGCCCUGGUAGCUUUUAUAUAUCAGUAACACACUGUUAAAUGGCACAAAAAUUGUGAAUUGUAAAGUGACUCCAUGGAUGAGCUUGGGAGAUUUUUACCUUAAAAAGCACUUACUUAUCCCUACCAUAUUCUACACCGAAUUUCCCUGAAUUUCUCCCCACUUUAGAAAAUAUUUGUGUUUAAUCUUGCGUUUUGUCAGCCCUCAGUAAAUGUCAUUUUCUCUGCUGCUUCUUUUUUUUUUUUUUGCGUUUUAGGGCCGCACCUGUGGCACAUGGAAGUUCCAGGCUAGGGGUUGAAAUCGGAUCUGCAUCUGCUGGCCUACAUCACAGACACAUAGCAGUGCAGGAUCUGAGCGUGUCUGCAAGCUGUAUACCACAGCUCACGGCAACGCCAGAUCCUUAACCCGCUGAGCGAGGCCAGGGAUAGAACCCGCACCCUUACGGCCGGCUUCGUUAACUGCUGAGCCACAAAGGGAACUCCUCAUUUUCUCUGCCUCUCGCCCCCUGGCUCCUUCUUUCCCCUCGCUUCUCUUGUGUGUGGGAGCCCCUUCGUAUUCCUACCUCUGCCUUUGGCUCCGGAGCCAUCCGCUGCCAGGGCCUGGCCUUUGGGUUGGCGGGAGGAGCCAGGCAGUGGGGUAGGUGAUGAGAAGGCAGGAGACAGGGAGGGAGGGAGGGCUCCAUGCAGGGCACACGUCACCAGCUUCUGCAGUGGAAGGGACAGACAAGGGCUUUGGAAUACCAAGUGUCGCGUGGCGUUUCUGUUACCUUGCUGCAGUCUAGGUAAAACCUGCUGCUGAGGAAAAGCUCGAGUUACAGCCGUCCGCCUUCUUGGUCUAGGUUGUGCCCUUUCGUAAAAGCACCAGGAGAGGGAUGGUUUUUCCUGUGGUUUCCCCAGGAUGUGUGUCUGUGAUGGUGGGUGGUAGGUGCAAGGCGGUUUGGCCCCAGCCCAGGCUCACUGGGGGCACCGGGACUUGACCUGGCAGGUGUGCGGGGGGCCUCUGGGAUUUGCCUUCCGACACCCAUCAGGACGGACUUGCAUCCAGGCCCUGGAACCGUGAGUGGCCGCCGAGAUCCUAUCUUCCUUGCUGCUCCCCAACCAGGAGGAGCGGUGCCCGGCUGCCCUGGGCAGUCCUCCGGAGGGUGAGCCCGUCCUGGAGGCUCAACUUCUGUGCCCCAGCCAGGGCACAGGCACACUGCCUGGGUGGCCUGCACCCCCCGGUGUUUUUCUCUCCCGGAUCCACAGCCUGGCACGUCCGUCGUCAGGGUGCCUGCAGAUUCAGGGUCUGCUGAGAGGCUGCCUCUUGUUUCCCUGUGUCUUCUCUGUCCUCACGUCACAGAAGGCGUGAGGGGCGCCCUGGGGUCUCUUUCAUGAGGCCCUGAUCCAAUUCCCGAGGUCCACGCUCAUGAUCUGAUCACCUCCCAAGGCCCCCCCACCCCUCCUACCGUCACCCGGGGAGUCAGCACUUAACAAAUGAACGGAGGGGCCGAGGACACACACGGUGUCUACAGCACCCACCUCGCUCGCUCGCCCACGGGUGCCCCUCAGCAGGGGGCCCGAUGAACGUCUUGUCGGGCCUUUUAGGAUGACCUCCCCACCCUGUGCCACCAGAAUACAGGUGUCCUACAGCGUCCAGAACUGGUCUCUUGGACCCGGUCUGCGUGGGUCGACCAGUUGUCCACAUGGACUUUUUCUCAAGGACCUGGUCGGUGCAGGUUGACCAGUUGCUCUCAUGGACCUGCCGCUCCACCACCGUCUGGGCAGACGUGGUCUCCCAGAUGCGGUCUGCGUGGGUCGACCAGUUGUCCUCACGGUCGGGAUCCUUCCAGUUGAAAUCCGGAAUACGCCACGCAGGUGUCUCCCGAGGGGAAGGCUCCUUUAAUCCCUUAAACCCAGAGACUGCCUCUUCUUAGGCCAAAGACAGGGGACAACACUGCUGCGUCGUUUCUCUCUCCUUGGGCGCGGGUGCCGUGCUUUCUAAGAGACAGCUUUCCUUGCGGUUGACAGGGAACCCCUCUCCCGCCCAGUUCCCCACCCCCCACCUCCUGCCACUGAUCGCCCCCGGCUGACCCGGAACCCCGGGGGCGUCUCUGUUCUGGAACAGCCCAACCGCCGUGACUGCCACAUCUGACCUUAGCUUCUUGGGUUCCCAACCCUGCUUGCCAGUGUCUGUUCUGAGCAGACCCUGAGAGGUCCUGCCGACCUCCAUCACGCUGGAUUUCGCAGGGAGUGUCCCGGGCCCAGCUGGGACGGUUUUAGUGUGUAGUUUCCCGGGACCGUGCGUCCACCUGCCUGGGGAGGGGUUCUUCGCAGCCCCCACCGGAGGAGUUUCCCUGCCCAUCUCCUCUCUGUCCAGCCCGGCGUCAAGGUCACGCAGUCUGCACCUGAAACUGCAGAGGAGCCUGUGCUUCCUGGGGUUUCGAAUAUGGAAUCCUCCCAGGUGCAGCCGUCUGUAUCUGCCUUCUUUCAUUAAGCACAAUGUUUUUAUUUUAUUUUUAAAAAUUUUUUUAAUUUUUAAAUUUUUUUAAUGAUUUUUACUAUUUCCUUUAUAGUUGGUUUACAGAUGCAUAAUGUUUUUAAAA
ensembl:lncRNA